GUCCAAACAGACACACUCUGGUUCUGAAUUAUGAUGGAAAGGUCUAUCAAUGAGAAGAAAGUGCCAACUGAAAACUUUUAGAAAAUACCCAGUUUACUCAAGGAAAAUAACAUGCAUUGAAGGUGAUUGCUCAAUAGAGAGAAGUUGAAACAGCAGACUAAUUGCCUGUUUGUGACACCCAUGUAAUCAACUUGGCCUAUAGGUUGAGGUUGAUCUGAAAGAUAGGACUAUUUGUGAUCCAGAAUCAAAAGAGUCAAGAAAAGUCUGAGAAUUUCAUCCUUGGAGCAGAAAGUGAAAGUGUUCUGGAGCCAAAAGUAGUAACAAAGAUGGAGGGCAAGAGAUCAUUGGAUUAAAUCAUAUUGGCAGACCAAAUUUCAGAAGAAUCAACACACCAGAGACAAGAAGAACUUGAAGUUAAAGCAAAGUUCCCUUAUACUGGAGAAUUCUUCUGCAUUCUCUGCUCAAAUAUGAUGCCCCCCACCAUGAAGAAGAGAUUCACCUUGGAUAUAACCACAAUUUACCCCCCUCAACAGAUCCCAGGAGGCUGCUGCUUACCUACUAGGGAGCCCACCUGCCUCGCUUUCUGCUUCCCCAGUCCUAUCCAUCUUGCUCCAUAUGAACUUUCCCAGGCCCAAGCUGCAGAUAUGAGAAUGAUAGCUACUCAUCAAACCUUUUUCCUUGUCUUGUUGAGCACACAGCUGGACCCCAUUUCAAAGCCUCUGUUGAGGUUAGAUAUGGUCAUGUGCCUGAGUCCUAGCCAAUAGAAUGUAACUGGGAACUGUUGUGUGUCUCUUUGAAAUCUGGCUGAUGAAUACCCACCCCCAUGCUACCCUCCAUGUUGUUUCCCUUUGUACUGACUUGAUGCAAUUGAGCCCAGGAAGCUUCAAAGCUAUAUGCUGAGGAUGGAUUUGAUAUCACAGAGGAAGCCUGGGUCCCUACAUCACUGCUUUGAGAACUGCUGCCCACCUUUUGGACCACCCAUUUUGGACUUAACAUGAGCAAGAAAUAAACUUUUCUGUUUGAACCAUUAUAUAUGUUUGGAUUUGUAUGUUGCAGCAGCUACAAUUACCUUAACCAAUAUGGACCCCCUGAGAAAAGUUGUUGGACCAAUAUGCAUUUAAGCUCAGGUUUCAAUUUUUCACACAUGAAAAAUUAUAAAUACAUAUAACUUUGAGCUUCUUUAGGAAAGAACGAAUACCCUAACUGGCUUGGUAUUCUCCCAGUAAAUAGUUCUUGAAAGGGUAUUUCAUAUAGUAGAAAUUCAAUGACUGCCUGUUCAAAAUGUUUAAAUGUUCAAGUCUUAAGAAAAAAAUGUCAACUACGAGAAGAUUAAGGAUUCAUUUACAUAGUGAGAGCUAAAUGAAGUCUUACUGAAUAAAUAAAUGAAUGAGUGAAUAAAUGGUAUAUUUGAUGAAAAUAAGUCUCACCUUAAGAUUCACAGAGAAAUUUGCUUAUCUGUAAGAUAAGGAUUGUGAUACCUUGCGCUUUCUACCUCACACGAAAUGUGUUAGUAUCAAAUCAGAGAAUUUACUUUCAAGCAUUUACUUUCUAAAUUACCAAGUGCUAGACACAUGUGAGUUCUCCAGUAUAAUUUAGAUAGAUUACUUUAUGUUUUGUCAGUAUGUUGACAGUUUAUUGAUAAUGGAGUUGAAACUCAAGGAAGGAGAAUAAUCUGUGAAGCACUUCUGAACAUCUUGGAGAUUUUUUUAAAAGUUAUAUUGGUGACCUGAAGAUUUUAGACCUCUUAAAAUUCUGAAUUACUAUUAACUUGCAGAUAAAAUAAUGCCAUUAUUUACCACUGGACUCAAGAGAACAUCUUUGUGUAUUAUUGGUACCCUGAAAUUAUAACUAAUCAUAUCCCCUCUGUAUCUCCCUAAGAUGUAUCUGCCACUUCUUAGGUUCCUACUUAGUGAUUAGAGUCAGAAAAGCAUUAAUCAACACUGCUGUGCCAAAUACUAUGGAAAUUCAUUUAACCAUAUUACAUAAUUGAAAUGUCAGAAUGUUUAAACACUUUCUGUCAUAUGAAAAUAUAUUGGAAAUGUCUAGAACCAAGCUGGCAGAGAAAAACACAAGGAAUGUUCUUAUAAAACAAAUGAGAUCUAGCUGGGCAUGGUGGCAUGUGCCUGUAGUUCCAGCUGCUCAGGAGGCUGAGGUGGGAGGACUGCUUGAGCCCAGGAGUUUGAGGCCAGCCUGGACAACAUAAUGAGAUCUCCAUCACUAAAAAUAAAUUUUAAAAUAAUGGAUAAGAAAGAUUUAAUGAUCCAUGGAAUGGUUGUUUGUGGGCUUUUGGUCAGAAGCCUGAGAGUGGGGAUUAGACAAAAGUGGCUGUCCAAUGUGUCAGUGGUGAUGCCAAUCUCUUGCCAGCUGAAAUUGAGAAGUAUAUGCAGCAGGCUUCAAUGACUGCCCUCACUGCUGAAAAGAAUAUAUCUUGUAUUGCCUGGGCAGGUGACCUUCACCAGGGGUUAAGAGAAUUCCUGUGAGUUCAUUGUGAGACUACCUCUCUUUCAUUUCCCAGUCCUUCAUCAGAAAAUUCAAGAGGCUCCUAUCACAUCCUAGAAUAAAGAUUUCCUUUAUGCAGGCUCCAUCCUCCAUCAGUAGGAGUCAAGUGGUAGCCCCAAAUUCUGCAUAUUUCUCUCACUCCUUUCAAACUGUCCAAUACUUACUAGCACUUUCUUCUUUGGAACAUCAUGUCCUAUAUUUCUGUCAUUUCAGUCACAAGAAGUGUAGGGCCCUAGAUCGUCCCCUAUCCCUUGGCCUUUAAUCUCCUUAUGGCUCCAAAAAUUGCCUUUUCUGCCACCAUCUCCCUUCUGCCCCAUCUCCUGAAAGAACUGGAACUUUCUGUCAAGCAUCUAUCAAUUAUCAACCAAAUUCCCUACAUCCCCUCACAUUUCCUUAUUUUAUUUGCUGGAACUAAAACUCACCUCUCCUCAAAGGACCCUGCUUGCCUUGCAGCCUCCUCAAGGGGUGGCUGUUUUCUCUCCCAGACCCCUCAAAGCACUGAGUCUGGAUGUGGGGUAGUGUCCUCCUCCCUCCUCAUUGCUUCUUCCAGAUCAUUAUUCCUCAUUUCUCCCUAAGACUACACAGUUUGAAUGACUUCAAUAUUGCCAAACCUCAAAGUGUAUUUGAGUCUUCAUUUUACUUGAUAGAUCAGCAGCAUUUUACACAGUUGAUCACUCUCUUUCUGCUGAGACAGUUUCUUCACUUGACUUCCAGGACACCACACUCUCCGGCUUGCUUCCUGCUUCACUAGUUGCUCCUUCUCUGUUCCUUUGCUACUUCCUUCUCAUCCCACUUAUCUCUAAGUGAGAGCCCCUGCACUUAAUCUUUGAACCUUGCCUCUUCUCUGGAUACACUUGCUGCCUUAACAAUCUCAUUUAAUCUCAUGAUUUUCUAUGCUUUCUAUAUGUUGAUGACUCUACAAGUUAUAGCUUUAUUCCAGAACUUUCUCCUGAACUUGAGAUGUAUGUAUCCAAGGGCUCACCUGACAUCUUCAUCUGGAUAUUAAUAGGUAUUUCAAAAUUAACACAUGAAAAACUGAGCUCCUGAUUUUUUCUUCAGAUCUUCUUCUCUUGAAGCCCCUCCAACCCACACCAAUCUCAGCAAAUGACAAUCCCAAUCUUUCAGUCAUUCAGGCCAAAAACUUUGAAGGCAUCCUUGACUCCUUUCUUUCUCUCACACUGCACAUCAAAUUUAUCAGAAAACCCUAAUGGAUCCUCUUUCAAAAUAUAUGUAUGGUAUCUGACCAGUUCUUACUGGCUUUACAACUACAACCCUGGCAACUGUUAUCUGUUACUUGGAUUGCUGCAAUAACUUCCUAACUGAUCCUUCUACUUCUGUCCUUGCCUCCUUCAUUUCUAUUCUAAAAAAAAGCAGCCAAAGUAAUUCUGUUAAACAUAAGCAGAAUAUAUCACUCGUUUGAUUAUAACCCUACAAUGGCUUCCUAGCUCACACUGUGUAAAAGUUAAAGUCCUACAAUAACCCUUCAAAGUUUUUGGCUAAGUAUGUAAGAUAUCUAGUGUGAUAGCAUUAAGUGCUGAGGUGGAAAAUUAAAGCAGGGAAUGGAAAUAGAGAGCAUCAAAGAUAGAGUGAUGAUUGCAUUUUAAAUAGACUUGAAGGAGAUAAUAGAGUAUGCCAUACAGAUAUUUAGGGAAAUAAUAUUCUAUGCAGAGAAAAGAGCAGGUGCAAAGGCCCUAAGGCAGAAGCAUGCUGGAAUAUACAAAGAACAGCAAGAAAGCUUUGCGCACUGGAGUGGCAGGAGAUGAGGUGAGACAGGCCUAUUGAUAAUGUCUCUUUCACUAAAAUAUAACAUGCAUGUGGAUAGAAAUGUUUGGCCUAUUUUAUCUACUGUUUUAUAACUAGAACUCAACUCUCAGCUAGCAUUCUACUCACACUGACCAUGUGUUCUGAGUUACAGUGGCAUUUUAUGUUACAGAAUCUUUUUUUGAGACCGGGUCUGGCCCUGUUGCCCAGGCUGAAGUGCAGUGGCGUGAUCUUGGCUCACUGCAACCUCUGCCUCCCAGGCUCAAGCCAUCCUCCCACCUCAGCCUCCCGAGUAGCUGGGACUACGCGCACACCACCAUGCCUGGCUAGUUUUUAUAUUAUUUGUAGAGACAGGGUUUCGCCAUGUUGGCUAGGCUGGUCUUAAACUUCUGAGCUCAAGUGAUCCACCUGCCUUGGCCUCUCAGAGUGCUGGGAUUAUGGGGUGUGAACCACCACACCCAGCCUAUGUUACAUAAUUUCGGUUUUUAGUGUCCAUAAUUACGGUCUGAAAUAGGUCAAGGGGACCCCAUGAUGGUCCUGGGAGAUGAGCAUUGAGACUACAAUGAUAGAAUGGAUCAGACCAUGCUUGAAGGACCUCAGAAGGUCUAGUCAAACUGUCAACUAACCCUCAUAGUUUGCAGAGCUGCUGGGAGACAAAAUCAUGUCCAGAACUCUGGAGCCACAGGAUUCCUUUGGGUCCCCAGAACUUCUUUGGAAAAGAUUAUAAUGGCUUUAACAUCAUUAACGUUUAUUGGGUUUUUACAAUGUAACAGGCAUGGUUCUAUGCACUUUACACAACUAAUUCAUUGAAUUCUCUCAACAACCUAAUGAGGUCAGAACUAUUAUCCUCAUUUUUGAUGUGAGAAAACUGAAGUACAGAGAGGUUAUGUGGCUUCCAAAGUCACAUAGUUUAAAAGUGGCAGAGACUGGAUUCAAAUGUAAACAAUAACCACUGCCGGGGUACCAUGGGAAGUUGUGGUCCAGACACUAAAUCAAGCUGCACCCAAGGUGUCCUAAUCCUACUCCUUCUUUCUCCACUGGAUGAGAGAAAAGGAGCAGGACCUAAGCCUCCUGAUUUUGUGGGAAUUUGCUUUUCUGUUCCAUGUUUCUCCCUCCGCUGCCCUUCUAUGCAUUGAAAUGAUGGGCAGGGGAACAUUUUCCGCCUCUGGAGGCAGGCGAGCAAAGACUCGAUGCACUUCCCCACCUCUUGCACUGGCUCAUACUUUAAUGGCUGGAAGUUUAAAAUCACAUCCCAAGCUUCUUGGAACUCAAAAUUCAGUUAUCUGACUCAGUAAAAUGUAGCUUUCUCACUUAAAAGGAUUUGCCCAAGGGGCCUCUGGGAUUUCAAAUAUACUUAAAAGCAACAACUGUGUUGAAUCAUAGAAUCAUAAGGGAUUGCAUUUCCGCUGGAGAACAGACAGGAUGUUUUAAACAGAGGGGGAAAUGUUUGAAGUUCGCCAAGCUUUGAGUUUCAUCCCACCCACCACAUCUGAAAACUAUCUGAGUCAUUUGAUGAAGGCAAAAUACAGCUGGGCUCCCUUAUUCUUAGUGUUAUUGUGGCCUACCAUCUUGACAUUGUGAUGCUAUCUGUGCAAGAACAUUUCACCUACAUCUACCAACCCUUUUCUAAACUGGAAUCAGGAAGAGUCUGUUCUCCAAAGUCUAUCUGGAGUGGAGUGGGCUGAGGGUGGUGUGGAGUAAAUAUUCUUAUAGACAGAAGGCAAAUACAGCUCUAGACAAAACAGUGAAGAGAAACAGGUUUGUCCAUGGCCCUGAGCUGCUGUCAAGGAGGUUACAGGGCCUUUAUCUCUUUCAUGGUGCUGCAGUAUUGUGUAGUGUGUUUAUGAACGUAGAUUUGGGAGUCAAAAAGAUACACGUUUAAUCUUGACCCUACCCACUUAUUUACUCACUGUGAAUCCUUGGGCAGAUUACUUAACCUUUCUAAUU
rnacentral:lncRNA from 10 species